rnacentral:ncRNA from 1 species
UUAAGAGGAAGGAUUUGACUGAUUGCAACCUCUUUACAAAGCUUCAUAAGGCUUGUGUAAAAAAAAGUGCUAAAGCAGUU